rnacentral:lncRNA from 1 species
CUCCAGGGCAUUGCAGAGCUCGUCUGCAGCUGUAGCAAACUGACUGAGUCAAACCUCUAUCUGGACCAGAACACACUGAGUCAAACCUCUAUCUGGACCAGAACAGACUGAGUCAAACCUCUAUCUGGACCUGAACAGACUGAGUCAAACCUCUAUCUGGACUGUAGGAGAACUACAUUCUGAGACAGGAGUCUAUACCCUGAGACAGGAGUCUAUACCCAAAGACAGGAGUCUAUACCCUGAGACAGGAGUCUAUACCCUGAGACAGGAGUCUAUACCCAAAGACAGGAGUCUAUACCCUGAGACAGGAGUCUAUACCCUGAGACAGGAGUCUAUACCCAAAGACAGGAGUCUAUACCCUGAGACAGGAGUCUAUACCCUGAGACAGGAGUCUAUACCCUGAGACAGGAGUCUAUACCCUGAGACAGGAGUCUAUACCCUAAACAAGAGUCUACCUUUAAGAAGAGGAAGAGGUGUGUAUACCUUUAGGGAGAGGAAGAGAGACAGGUGUUUAUAUCUCUAGAAAGAGGAAGAGAGACAGAGUACCUCAUUAUCUCAGCUGAGAUGCAGGGGUCGUUUCUACAGGCGCGUUGUGAUGAACCCCUCAUGACAACAGACUGGGGUUUGCCCCUCCUCCUGUCUCUCAUCGUCCUGGGGCUGCUCUACGCCUUCCUCUACCUCCCUUCCGUGGCACAACGAGCCCUGCUGGAGCAGGCCCUCAACAACCAGACUGGACUACCUUCCUCUACCUCCUCACCAUGAUACAGAGAGGAGCAGGUCCUUCCUUCCUCUACCUCCUCACCAUGAUACAGAGAGGAGCAGGUCCUUCCUUCCUCUACCUCCUCACCAUGAUACAGAGAGGAGCAGGUCCUUCCUUCCUCUACCUCCUCACCAUGAAACAGAGAGGAGCAGGUCCUCAACAACCUUCCUCUA